rnacentral:misc_RNA from 1 species
AACAAGGCGUACCUGCGGACCUGCGGAAGGAUCAUUACCGAGUUUACAACUCCCAAACCCCUGUGAACAUACCUAUACGUUGCCUCGGCGGAUCAGCCCGCGCCCUGUAAAACGGGACGGCCCGCCCGAGGACCCUAAACUCUGUUUUUAGUGGAACUUCUGAGUAAAACAAACAAAUAAAUCAAAACUUUCAACAACGGAUCU